GACGAACGCUGGCGGCGUGCUUAACACAUGCAAGUCGUACGGUAAGGCCCUUUCGGGGGUACACGAGUGGCGAACGGGUGAGUAACACGUGAGUAACCUGCCCACAACUUUGGGAUAACGCUAGGAAACUGGUGCUAAUACUGGAUAUGUGCUCCUGCUGCAUGGUGGGGGUUGGAAAGCUCCGGCGGAUGUGGAUGGACUCGCGGCCUAUCAGCUUGUUGGUGGGGUAGUGGCCUACCAAGGCGGCGACGGGUAGCCGGCCUGAGAGGGUGACCGGCCACAUUGGGACUGAGAUACGGCCCAGACUCCUACGGGAGGCAGCAGUGGGGAAUAUUGCACAAUGGGCGCAAGCCUGAUGCAGCAACGCCGCGUGCGGGAUAACGGCCUUCGGGUUGUAAACCGCUUUCAGCAGGGACGAAGCUUUUUGUGACGGUACCUGCAGAAGAAGCACCGGCUAACUACGUG
rnacentral:rRNA from 1 species